rnacentral:rRNA from 1 species
GGCGAGUGGCGGACGGGUGAGUAAUACGUAGGAAUCUGUCCUGGAGAGAGGGAUAACCCGAGGAAACUCGGGCUAAUACCACAUGAUAUCGAGAGAUCAAAAGCAGGGGACCGAAAGGCCUUGCGCUCUGGGAUGAGCCUACGUCGGAUUAGCUAGUUGGUGGGGUAAUAGCCUACCAAGGCGACGAUCCGUAGCUGGUCUGAGAGGAUGACCAGCCACACUGGGACUGAGACACGGCCCAG